GGCGUCAGUUCGGCGGCGGGACUGGAGGCGACGGGAGCUGCGAAUGCGCGUUCCGGGGAGCGCCGCUGCGCCGGGACGGGCCCCCCGCGGCUGCCGAUCCGAGGAGCGCUGCUACAGGCUGCAGUGAGAAGCAGGAGCAACCUUUAGCUACAGGAAGCUGAGGAGCUGGAGCUGAGGCAGCAGAGCCGGAGGAGACAGAAAUGUGGAGAUGCAUUUGAAGGGGAGCCCACAUUUCUUUGCCCUUGUUGAAGCGAGGCGGUCCAGUCGUGUAACACCGAGACCCCCUCUGCAACCAGCCCGCAGACCCGCUCCUUCAACCUCGUGGGAAUUCAGGAAGCGGCACACGGCUCUGCGAGGAAGCCUUGAUCUUUGUCACUGGAAGGUGUCACACAGGGAGCCUUCAGGAGCGGCCGAGGAGUUGCUCCAGGCAGACCCUGCCAGGAGGGCGAGGGCAAAGCGUGCGGCCCGAGGAGCCCGGCGUUCUUAGGAGAAUGCUGAGCAAGGGACCACAGCCUGCUGACCAUAAGACAUUCCCAGCUGUCGAGGCAGCCUCCAUUUGCACAGGAUGUGGAUUCUCAUCCCCGGAUGCCUGAGAGAUAAGUCGAGGGCUAAGGCCCACAGAGGGGACAAAGGCAACGUGCUGGGAGGGCCUAUUGAAUCAGCUCUGGGGGCGGGCAUGUGCAAGAAGGGUCCCCUUAGGCCACCUAAAGGGAAAAUGUCUAUUUUGAUCUCGGUGCUGAAGCGUGCAGGGCAGACCAGUUCCAGUGCGUGUCCUGUCACUUGUCUCUGGUGCACUCUGUGUUGUUUGGGUCUCUCAGUCCUUGCACACAUUCUUCUCAUUGAAAGCUCUCUCUCCCUGUCCUGUCCCCUCGUUUGUCACGUCCUGUCCUGUGUCACCGGUGUCUGCACUCAUUUGUCCAGGAGCUGCUCUGCCCUGCUGCAUAGCCUGUAAUAGCAAAAGCCCCGGGACUUGAAAUUUGUAAUGCAGGGUGUAGUUGGGAUCUAGAUUCUAUUGGGAGAUUGACAUAACAUUUUUGGUGCUGUUAAGUUGUCCUGCAGCUGUUUGACACUAGUUCUAACUUCGUUUCAGAUGCAGACAGUUCAAAUCUGUGGUAGAGAGCGCCAGUCCUGGGUAAAGGUGUUGGCAUAAGCAGGAGGUCCAGGCAGAUAGCAGCAGUCAAGGCCCAUUGUGCUAGGGAAUCCCUUCGGAGUACGCAUAGCACCUGUCACCAGCUGGCCAAUGGACUGGGUUUCCUGUGCUUUAUGAGACCUCUGGAAGUAUAGCGGGACUCUGUGAUGAAGCCUAAAAAUUUUGUAUUUCAGGGUCCCAACCUGGUAGCCCAGAGGAGUGGACAAGGAAUUGCGGUGAUGCUGUCGGCCUCCAAGCACGCCUGAAGUGUGUGGCCUGGGCACUCUGAGGAGGAUGGCAGACCAAGAGGUGACAGCUGGAACUUAGCAGGCAGGAAGACGGCCUUCUUCUGCAGCCAACAGGGAUUUACAUCCCCAGAUAUGUGCAAGAUAAGUGGAGUGUUACGACCUACAGAGUGGAUGGAAGCACGGUGCUGGCUUGGGCCUUUCUAGAAGGGUUUUUUUUGUCUGUUUUGGGGAUGGGGAUGUCCAAGAAGCAUUUCCCUAGUCCUCCUAAAGGGAAAAUGUCUGUUUUGGUCUCAGUGCUGAGGUUCACAGGGCAGAGCAGUUCCGGUGUGUGUCCUGUCACUUGUCUCUGGUGCACUCUGUGUUGUUUGGGUCUCUCGGUCCUUUCUUCUCCUCGAGAGCUCUCCCUCCCUGUCACGUCCCCUCGUUUGUCACGUCCCGUCCUGUGUCACGGGUGUCUGCACAUAUUUGUCCCGGCCAUGCUCUGCCCUGCUGCAUAGCCUGGCCAGUCCAUAAGGUGAUGUUCGUCACUAAGGUUUGGCCACAGACCAUCCCCAGGCCAGGGUUUUUUUCAAGGAGGAUUUUUUGGAAGCUCCCGGGAGCCACGUUCCUGAGGAACAAUGAUUUCUGGGGUGUAACGGAGCAGUUGAGAUGAGAGCGAUGGUGAGUUUGUGUGUAACAUGAAGGAGGUGCUCAUGCUAGAUGAGUGUUGUUUUGUGUGUGUAAUCUUUCUUUUGUGUUUCCUCUAACAAUAAAACAAAAUGUAAUUAAACUAGAAAAAAGGAUCAUAUUGUGUUGAUAUGUGUUUGGUUUCCAUUGCCCUGUGUUGUUCUGUAUUUGCAUUUGCUGCUGCAUUUCCAUGUAUUGCUUUGUAUCUAUGCAUGUCUAUGGAUUGUAUCUGUACUUGCAUUUGUAUCUGUUGUUUCCAUGUGUUUUGCUGAAGUGUAAAUAAAAAAAUUCAUUCAGUGAAGUUGAAUCAACCCUAGUAAUGAUGCCCCUGCUCCCUCACCUUCCAGCUUUGGCUCCUGUCUUUCUUUGGUGUGGUUUAGUAAUUUUUUUUCACUGUAUUUCUUCCUUUGCUUCUCAUCUUACUUUUCUAUUUCUGACUUCAUUUCUGUCUGUCCCUAACUCUGUGUUUCUAUUUCUCACUGUUUCUAACUCUGUCUCUCUGCUUCUCUAUUUCCCGCUAUUUCUUUUUUUUCUUUCUUUCUCUGUUUCCAACUAUUUCUUUUUCUCUCUAUAGUUUAUACUUUACUCUUUCUUUUUCUCUCUAGCUUUAACUCUUUUUUCCUCUUUUUUCCUCUCACUUUCUUUUUCACUCUAACCCUGCUAAUUUUUCACUCUUUUUGUUUUCACUGUUUGCCACUGUUUUCAUAGUUCUUUUUUUUCUGUCUCUCUUUUUCUCUCCAACUUCAACUUUCUUUAACCCUUUGUUUCUCUCUAUUUCUACCUUUAUUUCUAACUCUGCUUUCCUUUCUAGCUUUAAAAAAGAACAGCAGUAAAAACUUUCAGGCUCCCUGGGAGUAAAAAAAAAAAAAAAAAACACCAAAAAAAACCAACCCAACCUUUAAAUAAUUAUUUAAAGAAAAUUAUUUAAUCCCUGGGAGCCUGAAAUUUUCUACUUCUGCACCAGACAUCCAGUUUUUCUUCUUUUUCCUAAUAGAUAUAGGGCUCCUAAUUAGCGCUCCAGCUGGCAGGUAGCAGUAGCAAUAUGCAGAAACCAGUAUUCCCAUCAAGCCCACCAGAUGAAUAAUGAUACGACCAAGAGUUCAUCAUGUUGAAACAUAAAUUUUAAGGGAUUUAGAGAUUUUAGAGCAGCCAAGAUUUUAGUUAAAGACAAGCCUUACUAGAGUUAAUUAAAAUAAAUUAGUAGGCCUUGAUAAAGUUAAGAGUGAGUAGUUAACUAGUAAUUGAUUGCCUGUCAGCACAAUGUUUAGUUAGCUGGGUUAAUAAUGAAGAAUAUAGAAACUGAUAAAUAGCUUUUAAGAACAUAAGACAAUUGUGGGCCUCCUCUGUUCUGAAAUCAAAUGAAGACAAGGAAUGGAAGUUCUACCAAGAGUUCAUUUGUCAUAUUUGCAUUGAAACGGUAGAAAGGCCAGAACAAGGAAGACUUCAUUUAAUUCCACAUUUUGGGACUCAUCCCCAUGAAAGGGACCACUGACCCAUUUCAGGGAACAAACUUCAUGCUUAAUAGCUUUUGAAAUGAUUAGCAUAUGAAGCAAGGAAUGGGAUGUACCAAAAUGAAUAGGUAUUUGUAAAUUCGGUAUUCAGUACUUGUAUGGACAAAACGGCUCUUUAAUCACUUGGAAAGUGCGGUGUGUAUUUGGGAACUAUCCCACACGCUGCUGGGUGUCGAAUAAACAUACACUUUCUAACUUCAAA
rnacentral:lncRNA from 1 species